CACAAGCUCAGGUCCGGGUAUACGCCCUCGCCCAGAGCCUACACGGAUUGCGAUGAACGAAAUCCAGGCCCAGCUGGAUGAAGAAAGGAGGCUCCGGCACGAAUUAGAGAGAUCGUUCGAGGAGAGGAUGGCGGCAGAACGAUCCCAGUGGUAUGCGAUGAUGACGCCCCUUUAUGCUGCAAUGGGCCAAACUCCGCCACCGAUGCCAACCCCUUCUCGUCCACUUGCUCCACAGGCUCCACACACUCCUUAUCCAUCAGA